UCUAAACGGUGUCGUGCUGAUUGUUUAGAGCAGAGGCGAAGCAUAGUCUCAAUCUCUCUCUCUCUCUCUCUCUCUCUCUCUCUCUCUCUCCGUGUCUUCACCAGCAGCCGGUUCGUUACUGCGCUGCAACUGCAAACAGAAGAGCAGUACAACUUCGAUGCGAGCAAAAACCGGGGUUGUAGGAGUUGAAUUGCUUGCAGGAAAAUGCAUCUUCCUUUGACAUUGCAUAGGCAUCUAACAUGUGCUAAAACUAUUGAGCAGUUACAACAGUGUCAUUUACACCAUCCCAUUGGAAAAUUCUUUGAUGAAUGUACAGACCUCAAAAUAAAGCUUGAUUGAUGUUUUCAGGAGGAAGUGAGUAAUUAUUAUGUUUGUCUCUUGUUCAUCUAGUUAAAAUAUAGACCUUGACUUUGCAUUAAAAUUUUGAAGUCGUCCCAGUCCUGUAUAAAGCUGUGAAGCGGAAGGCAAAUUUUGAACAAAGUAACAAACUUAAAGGAAGGCUUCAGACAUUAAGGAAGGAAGCUGCUGAGAGAAGCCCCGAGGACUAAAGAGAAGAAUUUUAUGUGAGCUUAACAAACAAAGUGGGAGGUGUUGUCUGAAACUCUCCUAGAUUCUGAAUUUAGAUUCUAUACAACUUUAUGUUGUGGCGUAGUGAACAUAGAAUGGCCUUUGAGGGAUGAUCUGGAUUGCAGUUCAUUGCAUAUUGUGCUAUGAUAUAGUGUCUGUCAUUUUUUCUUGGGUUGGAAAAAUAAUUUGAUUCCCUGUAGAAAGCUUCUAAAAGAUCAUGAACUUUAGAUUAAUCUGUUUGUACAAUUGCCAGGAGACAUUAAUUGUGUCAUUUCAGGUUAUUAAUUGAGUUAUGAAUUUCAUUUGC